AUGACUGACACAACCUGUCCUAUCAUGAGCUGGAACAUCCGAGGGCUGAACACACCGACGCGUCACGCAGUAGUCUGUGAAACGACAGAAACCCAUAGGCUAGCUAUCCUCUGUCUCCAGGAGACCAAAAUCGAAACCUGGAGCCGGCCACUAGUCAAGGACGUCGGCGGAGCAAGGCUCUCCGACUGCAUAGUGCUCCCCGCCUCCGGCACCAGGGGCGACGCUGCAAUCUUCUGGAACAGUUUGAUUGUGGACCUGCAAUCGCACGCCAUCGGCGUUUUCUCCAUCACCGCCCGCGUCACCAUU
rnacentral:rRNA from 1 species